GGGGGAAAAAUUAAUAAUUAUUAUAUUAAUAAAAAAAUUUUUAAAUUAUAUUUUAAUGGGGGUUAAAGUAUAUAUAUAGAAAAAAUUUUUAAAUUUAUAGUAAAAUAGUAUUGUAAAAGAAUUUUGAAAUAGGGGAAAUUAAUUUAAUAAAAAGUAAGUUUAAUUUAUUGUAUCUUGUGUAUCAGAGUUUAUUAAUAAUAUUUUUUAGGUAAAAAUUUCUCGAAUUUAAAAGAGUUAAUUAAUUAUAAAAGUUAAUGUAGUAUAAUUAUUUUUAAUAAUUAAUUAGAAAUGAAAUGUUAAUCGUUUUUAAAAAUAUCUAGUUUUUUUAGAAAAAAAUUUAAUUUUAAAUAUUAUAAUUUAAAAUUUUUAUUUAAUAAAAUUUUAAUGGUUAAUAUUAAAUAUUUUAAGGGAUAAGCUUUAAAAUAAAUUUUUAUAAUUAAUUUUAAAAUUAAUUAAAAUUUUAAAAUUUAAAUUGUUUAAUAAAUUAUAAUUUUUUAUAAAUAAUUUAAUUAUAAUUAAAAUUUAAUAAGAAAAAUUUAAAUUUUUAUAAAAAAAUAUAUUUUAAUAAAAUAAAAUUAAAUAUAAUGAUAAAAUUAGUAUAUAAAUUUAAAUAAAUAAAUAAAUUUAAUUGAAGUUAAUUAAAGGAAUUCGGCAAAAUUUAUAUUCACUUGUUUAUCAAAAACAUGUCUUUUUGAAAAUAAUUUAAAGUCUAAUCUGCCCACUGAUAAAUUAUUAAAGGGCUGCAGUAUUUUGACUGUACAAAGGUAGCAUAAUCAUUAGUCUCUUAAUUGGUGACUUGUAUGAAAGAUUGGAUGAAAUAUAUACUGUCUCUAUUUAAUUUAUAAAAUUUAAUUUUUUAGUAAAAAAGCUAAAAUGAAUUUAAAAGACGAGAAGACCCUAUAGAGUUUGAUAAUUUAUUUAAUUAUUAUUAAUAUAUAAAUUUUAAAAUUAAAAUUAAAUAAAUUAUUUUGUUGGGGUGAUAGAAAAAUUAAAUUAACUUUUUUUUAUUUUAUACAUUAAUUUAUGAAUGAAUGAUCCAUUAAUAAUGAUUAAAAGAAAAAAUUACCUUAGGGAUAACAGCGUAAUUUUUUUUUUUAGUUCAAAUAGGAAAAAAAGUUUGCGACCUCGAUGUUGGAUUAAGAUAAAAUUUAAAUGCAAAAGUUUAAAAUUUUGAUCUGUUCGAUCAUUAAAAUCUUACAUGAUCUGAGUUCAAACCGGUGUGAGCCAGGUUGGUUUCUAUCUUUAAAAAAAAAUGAUAUUUUA
rnacentral:rRNA from 1 species